UCGGCUUAGAGUUUGAUCAUGGCUCAGAUUGAACGCUGGCGGCAGGCUUAACACAUGCAAGUCGAACGGUAAAGUAGCUUGCUACUUACGGGUGGCGGACGGGUGAGUAACGUAUGGGAAUUUACCGAAUGGAGGGGGACAACAGUUGGAAACGGCUGCUAAUACCGCAUAACGUCGAGAGACCAAAGGGUUUCGACUUGCCAUUUGAUGAGCCCAUAUGAGAUUAGCUAGUUGGUGUGGUAAUGGCCCACCAAGGCGACGAUCUCUAGCUGGUUUGAGAGGAUGACCAGCCACACUGGGACUGAGACACGGCCCAGACUCCUACGGGAGGCAGCAGUGGGGAAUAUUGCACAAUGGGGGGAACCCUGAUGCAGCCAUGCCGCGUGUAUGAAGAAGGCCUUAGGGUUGUAAAGUACUUUCGUGGAGGAGGAAGGGUUUACGUAAUCGUGGACAUUGACGUUACUCCAAGAAGAAGCACCGGCUAACUCCGUGCCAGCAGCCGCGGUAAUACGGAGGGUGCGAGCGUUAAUCGGAAUGACUGGGCGUAAAGGGCAUGUAGGCGGAUGAUUAAGUUAGAUGUGAAAUCCCUGGGCUUAACCUAGGAAUGCAUUUAAAACUGGUU
rnacentral:rRNA from 1 species